rnacentral:rRNA from 1 species
AGCGAACGCUGGCGGCAGGCUUAACACAUGCAAGUCGAGCGGGCAUCCUUGUGGUGUCAGCGGCAGACGGGUGAGUAACGCGUGGGAACGUGCCCUUCGAUUCGGAAUAACUCAGGGAAACUUGAGCUAAUACCGGAUACGUGCGAGAGCAGAAAGGUUUAUCUGCCGAAGGAUCGGCCCGCGUCUGAUUAGCUAGUUGGUGAGGUUAUGGCUCACCAAGGCGACGAUCAGUAGCUGGUCUGAGAGGAUGAUCAGCCACACUGGGACUGAGACACGGCCCAGACUCCUACGGGAGGCAGCAGUGGGGAAUAUUGGACAAUGGGGGCAACCCUGAUCCAGCCAUGCCGCGUGAGUGAUGACGGCCUUAGGGUUGUAAAGCUCUUUUCUCCGGGACGAUAAUGACGGUACCGGAGGAAUAAGCCCCGGCUAACUUCGUG